rnacentral:rRNA from 1 species
UAGGGAAUAUUGGACAAUGGGUGAGAGCCUGAUCCAGCCAUGCCGCGUGCAGGAAGAAGGCGUUAUGCGUUGUAAACUGCUUUUUGCCAGGGGAUAAAAAGACCGUGCGCGGUUAAUUGAAGGUACCUGGUGAAUAAGCCACGGCUAACUACGUGCCAGCAGCCGCGGUAAUACGUAGGUGGCAAGCGUUGUCCGGAUUUAUUGGGUUUAAAGGGUGCGUAGGUGGCCCUGUAAGUCAGUGGUGAAAUAUCUCAGCUUAACUGAGAGGGUGCCAUUGAUACUGCAGGGAUUGAGUACAGAUGAGGUAGGCGGGAAUUGACGGUGUAGCGGUGAAAUGACAUAGAUAUCGUCAAGAACACCGAUAGCGAAGGCAGCUUACCAAGCUGUAACUGACACUGAGGCACGAAAGUGUGGGGAUCAAACAGGAUUAGAUACCCUCGUAGUCCCUGAGCGGGCUGGCAAGGCGCAU